UGAAUACCGCACUCUUCCCGCUUUUUGUUCAUGUUCUAGAUAUCACUCUGCAUAAAGGAACGGGAGGGAGGAAGAAAUAAAUCCCCGCCAUCAUAUUAGAAUUAUUUAAAAAUCAAUCUCAAUAAUUACCCCAUCCCGCUUCAUUCCCCGUUUUCGCCCUCGUGAGCCACAACACAUACCGUACAUAUCACACAAACACACUUCGAGUUUGAAAAGAGCCUUGAUAUAUUCCGAAACGAAUUGGCAAAUUGAACUAUGCUCAUCAACGAAAAGACCGCCCUCUCGUCCUCCCGUGUCCUGCUCGUCCCAUACUGCAAGCACCAUGUGCCGCAGUACCAUGAGUGGAUGAAAGACCCCGUAGGUCUAUAUAUAUUUACAUAUUGUAAUUAUCAUUAACAAAAACUUAAUGAUGAUAGUAAUGAUGAUGAUGACGAUGAUAACAAAUGAACAAAUGAUAAAUAUCAAACACAUAGGAGAUCCAACAAGCCACCGCUUCCGAACCAUUAAGCCUCGAGGAGGAAUACGCCAUGCAAACCAGCUGGCGCACCGAUGCGGAUAAAUUAACAUUUAUAAUCUGUUUACCGCUUCGUCAAACGCUACAAUCAUCAUCAUCAUCUUCUUCUUCUUCACCAUCUUCGUUACCGGCUGGGGCUGUGGCUCGUGUUGCUGCAGCUGCAGCUGCAGAGGAUGUAAACGCCAGCCAACCAGCAGAGUUGCGAGCUACGGCACCGCUGACUGAUCCACGUAUCGAUGCCUCAACAUCAAUGCUGGGAGACGUGAAUUUGUUUCUGAGACUAGAUGCGAACGAUGAAGAAGGUGGUAAUGGCCAUCUCCCUGCAGCAGCAGCAGCUGCUGCUGGUACCAGCGCAAGAGUCGUCGGUGAAAUAGAACUUAUGAUAGCAGAGAAAGUGAAGCAGGGUAAGGGGUAUGGGAGGGCUGGACUGGUAUGUUUUUUGAAGUAUAUUGCGGACCAUGAGGUGGAAAUUAUGAGGGGGUUUGUUUCUUCGUUAUCGUUAGCAGCAGCGCCCCCAGCUGCAGACGAUAACGGGAGACGGGACGAGACAAAACUAGGAAAAGUGGUAGUGGGAGAGGGGAAACUAGCAUAUCUGUCUGCUAAGAUUGGCGCGGGUAAUGCGCGCAGUCUGGGGUUGUUUCUGAGUUUGGGGUUUACGAAGGUGUCUGAUGAGCCGAAUGUGUUUGGGG
rnacentral:sRNA from 1 species